rnacentral:sRNA from 1 species
UAUUCUCCCCUACGGGGAAGGAUGAGAAGCUUCGACUAAGGUUCGACUCGAGCGUAGCGAGAGAACGUUGCCGCAAGCAACGGCCCGAAGGGCGAGGCGCUUUAGCGCCGAGUCAUCCUUCCCCCACCAUUC